UUACUAUCUGCGAUAUGGAAGAUUCGAACCUGCCGCAGGUUCGGGUCUCACGUAGUGAGACAACGGAGCCGCUUGCGGCGACGGCCCGAAGGGCGAGCAAAGCGAGUCAUCCUGCACGACCCACCA
rnacentral:sRNA from 5 species